rnacentral:rRNA from 1 species
UACGUAGGGUGCGAGCGUUGUCCGGAAUUACUGGGCGUAAAGAGUUCGUAGGCGGUUUGUCGCGUCGUUCGUGAAAACUUGGGGCUUAACUCCAAGCGUGCGGGCGAUACGGGCAGACUUGAGUACUACAGGGGAGACUGGAAUUCCAGGUGUAGCGGUGAAAUGCGUAGAUAUCUGGAGGAACACCGGUGGCGAAGGCGGCGUUCUGGACUGCUACUGACACUGAGGAACGAAAGCCAGGGGAGCAAACGGG